CAAGGUCUCUCUACCUCAUCCCUACAACAACUAGGACGGUGGUCCUCCUCCGCCUUCACAACCUUCAUUCGUCCGGACAUCAGCGCCGUACGGGCUUCCCAAAGAUCUCUCAGACCCUAACUACACUCAAAAAACUGAUUCUUGGUCCACAUAAAUAUGAAGCAAUAUUUUCAGAUAUAAUAUAACUGAAAUCUGUCAAAUAUAAAGUGGAUUUGUUCAAGCAAUUAAACACAACGUGAAUAUGUUGAAUAUAAACGGAAUGUAAGACAAUUAGUACAGUUUAUUCUAUUAAAUCCCAUAAAGGGGAGGCAGACCCUGAAGGGAGGUAACGCGCAUGACGUUGAUUGUUCACACUGGACGUAGACUUGGUGUUUUCUAUGUGCUACCCGCUUGACUUGGCGUUUGGUUUCAACCUACACCGUCGAUCGACGGACUUUAGGUAAGUCUAAUUGUUUAAUAUUCCGCUGCUUAACCAUACGUUAUUGAAGAUGAACAGUUAUUUUAACGUGUUUAUGCUAUACGAAUAGAAUUGUCUGCAUGUGUAUAUUCGUCGUGCAGUUAGUUUCGCGCCACAAUGCUGGCUGGCUGGCUAGCUAGCGAAACGAGGCCUAGCUAGCGAAACGAGGCCUAGCUAGUUGGGUGCUGCUUGUACUAAGCAUGAACCAGAGCCAGCAGCACAGUUUGUGCUUUGUUGCCCUCCAAACAUAAGCCCGAAUGCCCUAUUAGGAGGGCUAUGUAUGUUUCUGUCGCUUAGGUUGCGUCAAUAAUUACAGUAGUAGCUUAGCCUUAGCCACCGUACUUCCGGUCUGUCUCAAUGCGGUGAUCGCAGCACAGAUACACCCGGGAAUUCGUGAGAGUAAUGGCGCGUUUCCACUGCAGCGGGUAGCUCGCUUUAAGCGUGCUAAUAAGGCCUAACCAAACCGAGCGAGGCCUGAAGUGGAAACGCGCCAUUAGUAAUUCAAGUUACAUUGGAGUUCUUUUCGUGUCGUAUUUUUAGCUAACACUAUCUAAUACUUUCUUAUAUCAACUCCACUCUUCGUCAUGACAUAAGGCUUAGCUAUAGCUGUAGCUCGAGCCAGACAGAAAGAGAGUAGAGUUAGGAUAGGAAAGAAAAAAGAAAUGCAUAAAUACAUGGAUGAAAAUAAAUAAAUGUAAGACAUAUUGGAGCCCUCUUAAUUUACCAACUUCUAUUCAUGCAUUUAUGUACUUGAUUUAUGUAUAUAUUCAUGAAUUACUCAUGUAUUUAUGCUUUAUUUUACUAUUCAUUUAGUAUUUAUUAUUUUUCUUCCAAUUUGUCUUCAUUCUCUCAAGUAUUUAUUUACUGCUGCAAUUAUUUAUACUAUUAAUUAUUUCCCUAUUCCCUCUUAUAGUUAUUUGAGCAUGCAUUUCAUUUAGUGAUUAUUUGAUUGAUUUAUUGAUGUUUGUCAUGUUGUUGUCCUCCAUACUAGGGUUGGUGUGAAUAAUCAAAUAUGACAUAAUACUAAUUAAUUAGUGAUUAAAAACCGACAUUUUCUACCAAGUAGCAUCAUUUUAAAAUCAAGCUGCUGCUCUACAUCACAGACAUCCAGCAGAGGCCUUAUUUAUUUACAUAAUAUUUCAAUAUCUGGCUAGUUUGCUGCAUUGUUCUACAAUGCCAAGGAAUAGCUUAUUCCUCACCUUUGGAAACUAACCGUGUGCUAUUUUUGUUAUAGAUCUAGGAGCUAAAUCAACAUUGUGGAUGGGCAACCUCUAUAUAGGUGUAAUAUGUGAAUGGGCGUGUGGCAAUGUAAGGUGUGUGGAAAGUCUGUAGCAAGUAGAUACGAGCUGCUUAAACAUGGCAAAUUAAAACAUCAUGGGAACAGGUUCCGGCAUCCUUGCCCAUACACUAAUUGCCCCUGCACAUUUAGAUUGUGGAACAGUCUUUUGAGUCAUAUAUACCGUAGUCAUAAAACCCAAACAUCUCCAAAGCCAUCUGAGUUGUCUACAUUUUCAUGUCAGUUGUGUGCUUGUCCUGAGCUUUCAAAUGAACAAGCUUAUUUCAGUCAUGUAAAUGAACAUCUACGGAGAAAUGAAACUGUAACAUGCAUGUUUAAAGAUUGUGUUUUUAAAACUAACAUCUACAAUACAUUUCAUACUCAUAAAUACAGGAAACAUAAUCCCCAUAUUUUAAGUGAUUUCAAAGCUGAGGUUGUUACUGUAGUUGUUGGAUUAAUUGAAUCUGACAAUACUGUUAUUGAUGGUGCUGCAGAUGCAGAUGUAGAAUCUGAUACUUGUAUAGAUGCACAUGGUUGUUUUGAUACUGAAGAUCUACCCAAGGUUAUUGAGCAGAAAAUUGCCUCUGUUUUACUGAAAUUAGAACACAUUUUGUUUGUACCGGCAACUGCAAUUGACGAAUUACUGCAGGAAUUACACUUUUUGUUAAGCUUCUCAUCUGUUCCAAUAACCUUUAACGGCCUAUCGGACAUUUUUAAAAACCACUGUGUUGAAAUUGAUGAGUCCAUUGUCAAAGAGCUUGCUCAAGAAGUGUGUAAAUCUAAUCCCUUGACCAAAGCCUUUGCAAAAGACGGCCCCCUCGCUACAUCUUUCAAAAGAAAAAAGUAUUACAAAGAAUAUUUCAGUGUGGUAAAUCCAGUUGAGUACAUCCUUGAUCCUAAGAGUAAAAGAACAUAUCAGUAUAUUCCUAUAUUGCGUUCUUUGCAGCAUCUGUUAAGUAACAGUGACAUACUAAAAAGUGUAAUUCACACACACGAGACACAGAAAAGUACACAAUGUUUAGGGCAGUAUAAGUCGAUAAGAGAUGGAAUUUACUCAAAAGAAAAUGGCCUUUUUACUGGGGAGGAUUUGAAAUUAUCAUUAUCACUAUAUGUUGAUGACUUUGAGGUGUGCAACCCCAUAGGUACAUCCAGAAAAACUCAUAAACUUUGUGGUGUGUAUUGGAUUUUGAAUAAUUUACCACCUGGAUCUCACUCAGCUCUUUCUUCCAUCUACUUAGCUGUAUUAUGCAAGACUAUUGAUGUGAAAGAGUACGGAUAUGAACACAUUUUAGAUCCCCUUUUACAAGACUUGGUCAUUCUAGAGACACAUGGUGUUUUUAUUUCAGGUCUUGGAGCGUCUGUGAAAGGCACUGUCCAGUCGGUCAUUGCAGACAACCUAGGAGCCCACGGGAUAGCAGGGUUCAUUGAAUGCUUUUCUGGUGUCUACUUCUGCAGAUUUUGUACAGGUACAAGAGCAGACAUUCAGACUAAAACGGUUCAGUCAGGUUAUUUUGAAAAUCGUACAAAAGACUUGCAUCACAAGCACAUUACAUUUGCAAGAGAGAAUGCCACCAUCUGUUGUGGGGUAAAGAGAGAGUGUGUUUUUACAAAAAGAUUAUCUUACUGUCACGUUACUCGGGGCUACCCUCCUGACAUUGCACACGACUUAUUUGAGGGUGUUGUUCCAGUUGAGAUUGCCCUUUGCAUUGGUUUGUUUAUUUCCAAGAAAUAUCUAUCUCUUAACACUUUAAAUGAGCUUAUCCUGAGCUUUCCAUACAAGUGGGGGGACAGAACUAACAAACCUCAUACCAUACCGCGCACUUUUGCCGCUUCCAAGACCAUUGGAGGAAACGCCCACGAAAAUUGGAAUCUGUUGAGGUUGUUGCCAUUUAUUAUUGGAGACUUGAUACCAGAGGCAGAGCCUGCUUGGCAUGUUUUGCUUGAUUUAAAAGAAAUUGUUGAACUCUCUGUCGCCCCUCUUCAUAAUCAAGAAACUAUUGCCUACUUGGACUGUAAAAUCGUAGAACACAGAGAUAGAUUUUUGGAGCUUUUCCCUACAAAACUGUUACCAAAACAUCACUAUAUUGAGCAUUAUCCUCAAAUGAUUGAACGUUUUGGACCUUUAGUUGGGCAAUGGACCAUGAGGUUUGAGGCAAAGCACAGUUUCUUCAAGCAAGUUGCUCAUCACACAAAUUGCUUCAAGAAUGUACCACUCACAUUGGCAUUCAAACAUCAGCAAAUGAUUGCAUAUCAUAUCACUGCAUCCCACCUUAAAUCAACAUUGGAAGUUUCAAAUGUUUCCAUGCUUCCUGUGGAUGUACUGAACCAGAAAGUAGUGUUACACCUCAGGCAAAAAUACCCCACUAUUAACGAAGUACAUUUUGCAAAGCACGCAACCCUUAAAGGAAUCUCCUACAGAGUUGGCAUGCUCAUUCCUUAUGGCUCAACUGGUGGUCUGCCUGAUUUUGCUGAAAUAAUUCAAAUAUGCAUUGUUGAAAACAGUGUGAGCUUUGUUGUAAGGGUAUUGUGUGCAUGGUAUCACGAGCACUUCAGAGCGUAUGAGUUGACCAUAUCUCCGAAUAGUGAGGUUGCCCUCGUUGAUGUUGAACAGCUGCUCGAUGCUUAUCCACUCUGUGACUACACUGUCGGUGUAAGGCGAAUGGUUACCCUGAAAAGGCAUAUCAUUGUUUAAGGUUGGUCUGAAUGUGACUUAAACAGCUGUGAAUGAAAGCUGAAUACUCUGUAGAUAUUUCUUUAUUUAAAAGGGACAAUGCACAUUAACAUGAACAACGUCCAUCAUGUAAAGGUGCCAGAUUUAGCCAUAUGUGCCAAAUUUCACCUGCAGUCUCUAGCAGGAUGAUUGCAUUUGAGAAAACAUUAGAAAGCAUACAAAAACACGACAUGUAAGCUUAAAACAUGAGCACAUGCGCAUAUAAAGAAGUAACAAUCACUAUUCCAUGCCAUUACAGCUAUUCCUGUGUAAGCACAACACAAGCAUAAAAUAACAAUUAAUUACGUAAAUGUUACAAGUUAAUAUUUAGUGAUGGUUUAGUACUUGUCCUAACUUUGUUUCCCUGUAUUUGUUUCCUAGAAUACAUUGAGGGGAAAGAUGUCAUGUCCUGUCCACCUGCGAGUUGUUCUUGGUGUAGAUGACGCAAGAAAACUUACCCUCAAGUCAGGAAUGCCAUCAUCUGUGGAUCAACUUGUCCUUGAGAUAAAGACCUAUUUUGGACUUGAACAACAGUUCAGGCUCCAAUACAAGGAUCUCGACUUUGGAAAUGAGUAUUUUAAUCUUGAGUCAAUCAGUGACAUUGAAGACAAGGCUACUGUAAAAGUGGUAUUUGUUUCAUGUGAAGAAACUAGCUCCAGCAUUCCAGAGACAUCACUACCUUGCAGCACCAGCACACCAUUAACUUCACCCAUGACAUGCAACAGCUCUGUGAUCCUAACCCUAACCUCUGUAAAUGCCCUUCGUACUACAUCCCCUGAUGAAGACGGCUUGUCUUCUCAGCACUCAUUUGACAGUGGAGACGCUGUCAUUCUAGAUCCAGCUCCAGAGACAAGAACCUCCUCCUGGCCACCAAUCUUCUUUGUUCCCCGCUUUUCAUAUUUUGCUGAAUUUCAGCUCCAAAGAGCAACUGCUGAUUUCAGAGCAAAUGGCACUCUUCUUACCCCUUCUCCUAAACUGCGAAUGGAUAUCCUUGAAGGCAUGGCUGAAGAAAUAUUCAAAUGCACAGCAUAUCCCAGUGAUUCCCAAAUUGAAGAGGCUGCUACUGUCCUUGUGCAUACCCAUCCAUGCUUGAAGGAGAGAGGAACUCGUGCUGGCCAUGAGGGAUGGAAGCAGUAUCUAAAAACAAAGGUUGCCAAUUUCCGCACAAAACUAAACAAGAUUGGACACCCUGAGGUCAGUGUAAACUCUCUCAAGAACAAGCGCAAAGGACAAGAACAAGCAGCUGCAAAUAUCAAAAAGCCAAGAAAGGCAGAAGUUAACUUCCUCCCACCACUCCCUAGUGGUGAAACAAGAGACAGUCUUGAGAAAGAAAGGGUAGUGCUCCUGACCGAGGUGAAAAAGAGAAACAACGACGCUGUAGUCAAAAAGAAGAUGCAGAAGACCUUCGCCUACAGACGCCAAGAGAUUGUCCAGGAUGCUCCUGUGGUGGCUGAACUUGUAAACAAGUGGCCUGCCUUGUUUACAGUGAGUGAAAUAAAUGCAGAAUUCAUGCGAAUCACAACUUUGCCACUCCAAGCCAAGUUCCUGGCAGAGCUUGACAGAUACUCGCCUAACCUACUGAAGGUCUUCCACAAUAGAGGAGGAGAUGCUGGAAGGAAGAUCCGGCUUCUCAUGGCACCGACAGCUAGGAGUGAGGACAUUGAGCUCAAAAGAGACUCUGUCCUGAAAAGUCUGUGUGCCUACCUGAAGGAGGACAGCAACAGUCUCAUCAAGGAGUACCUGAAUGUCAGGAGUGAGGAAGCCGAGAGUGCAAUCCCACAGACUACCAUGGGACUUUAUGUGAUCCGCAAUGAGGGCGCUCAGGAAGAGGACGGGCCAGAGGAUGUCGGUGUGAUCAUCGAAGGUGUGGAACUGCUAUCCAAUCUGCGAAGUAUUUCGUUAGGAUGGGCCAUGCUUUUUGGGUUGAUUUACACUCUCAACUUGAGCUAUCCACCGGAACUCAAGUUCACUUUUGAGUUUUUACAGAAAGUGUUGAUGAACUUGGAUGGCAACAAGCUGUCACCAAAGGUCCAAAGCCUUAAAAUCAAGAUGCUUCAGUGAGCCCAUCAUUUCAGGGCUGGACAAUCAAGCUGUGACAAGAAUUUUUCUUGUUGGACAAUAUACGUUUGAUGACUACAUACUACUUAAGGCGGUUCAAGUAGGAAAUAUUGAACUCUGGGACAGUUAUUUUUUGGCACAUUCAUUCGGUUUGAACUUUAAUGGACCAUUUUGGUGGAGAAAACUGUUCUUUGACAUGUACAUUUUUCGAUGAGAUUGCAUAAUCUUUUGUUGCAAUAGAUGAGAACGAGCGAUGGAGAUCCCUUUUUUUUUUUAUCGCCAUAAACAUCUCAUGGACUCGCCACUUAAAAAGCUACAAUGCCAAGUGAGAUUCCUCUGUGAAAGUCAGUCUGAAAAUGUUUACAAUGGACAAUUGUGAUGUUCUUAAAAGUUGCAAGGUGUUGAAUUUUAACAUUUCUUUUCACCACUUAAAAUGCUACAAUGCCAAGUAAGAUUCCUCUGUGAAAGUUAGUCUGAAAAUGUUUACAAUGGACAAUUGUGAUGUUCUUAAAAGUUGCAAGGUGUUGAAUUUUAACAUUUCUGUGUUAAUACCUAAUAGAGUGGUGCAGUGAAGAUGUAUUUUUGU